GACAGAGGUGCCAAGCGUUAGGCGGAAUCACUGGGCUUAAAGCGUGUGUAGGCGGAUGCCUAAGUACCUUGUGAAAUCCCCCGGCUCAACCGGGGAACUGCUGGGUAUACUGGGUGUCUUGGGUCAUCUAGGGGCUGCCGGAACAAAUGGUAGAGCGGUGAAAUGCGUAGAUAUCAUUUGGAACGCCAACGGCGAAAGCAGGCAGCUGGGGAUGCACCGACGCUGAGACACGAAAGCCAGGGGAGCGAACGGG
rnacentral:rRNA from 1 species